rnacentral:rRNA from 1 species
UGGGGAAUAUUGGACAAUGGGGGCAACCCUGAUCCAGCAAUGCCGCGUGUGUGAAGAAGGUCUUCGGAUUGUAAAGCACUUUCGACGGGGACGAUGAUGACGGUACCCGUAGAAGAAGCCCCGGCUAACUUCGUGCCGGCAGCCGCGGUAAUACGAAGGGGGCUAGCGUUGCUCGGAAUGACUGGGCGUAAAGGGCGUGUAGGCGGUUUACACAGUCAGAUGUGAAAUCCCCGGGCUUAACCUGGGAGCUGCAUUUGAUACGUGUAGACUAGAGUGUGAGAGAGGGUUGUGGAAUUCCCAGUGUAGAGGUGAAAUUCGUAGAUAUUGGGAAGAAC